UACGAGCGUGGUCUCUGCUCCGCGGGUUCGCUGUUCCGUUGCUGCCUGCGGCCGCGAUCCCCUCUGCAGCCUCUGGUGCCUUGCUCUCUAAGCUCCCAGGCCGUUCUCCUAGACCCAGUAUUGGUUUCUGGUUUCCGAAGGAAUGUUCGGGCUUGGCAGCUCCAUAGCCUUCUGCUAAGUCUCCUGUAGCUCCCAUCAAAAUACAAAUUCUACAUCAUCGCACCGAAGCGACUUUCGCCGUGCUUCCCACCCUCUAAACUAAUUGCAUAGCUAACCUAGUGCGGGGACCCAUCCAACAGAAGUAAAAUACCAGAACCCUUCGCGCCAAUAAAGCACUGGGUGCAGAGUCUGACACAUGGUAGAGUCUAAUGAACUAUUGUCCAGUCCACUUUCCUUCAGUAAAUUUGUCAAUAUGUCUCCCCUCCAGGUUUCACGUAGUUUCCUCACCUACAAAGCGAAGAGGUGUCAUUUUUGUAAAAAA